rnacentral:rRNA from 1 species
UACGUAGGGUGCGAGCGUUGUCCGGAAUUAUUGGGCGUAAAGGGCUCGUAGGCGGUUUGUCGCGUCGGGAGUGAAAACCUACAGCUUAACUGUGGGCUUGCUUUCGAUACGGGCAGACUAGAGGUAUGCAGGGGAGAACGGAAUUCCUGGUGUAGCGGUGAAAUGCGCAGAUAUCAGGAGGAACACCGGCGGCGAAGGCGGCACUCUGGGCCGGUACUGACGCUGAGGAGCGAAAGCGUGGGUAGCAAACAGG